AUUGAACGCUGGCGGCAGGCCUAACACAUGCAAGUCGAGCGGAUGAAGGGAGCUUGCUCCUGGAUUCAGCGGCGGACGGGUGAGUAAUGCCUAGGAAUCUGCCUGGUAGUGGGGGAUAACGUCCGGAAACGGGCGCUAAUACCGCAUACGUCCUGAGGGAGAAAGUGGGGGAUCUUCGGACCUCACGCUAUCAGAUGAGCCUAGGUCGGAUUAGCUAGUUGGUGGGGUAAAGGCCUACCAAGGCGACGAUCCGUAACUGGUCUGAGAGGAUGAUCAGUCACACUGGAACUGAGACACGGUCCAGACUCCUACGGGAGGCAGCAGUGGGGAAUAUUGGACAAUGGGCGAAAGCCUGAUCCAGCCAUGCCGCGUGUGUGAAGAAGGUCUUCGGAUUGUAAAGCACUUUGAGUUGGGAGGAAGGGCAGUAAGUUAAUACCUUGCUGUUUUGACGUUACCAAAAGAAUAAGCACCGGCUAACUUCGUG
rnacentral:rRNA from 1 species